AGAAGUAUCUUUCCUGUUGCUGACUGAGCGUUACUGAGCAGCCGCCAACUGAGCUUGAUGAUGUAGUUGUGAUGUGAGCAACCUGUCUGAAAGUUGUAAGUCUUCUGGUAGCUGUGCUGAGAGAAAUCUCAAUCAUUCCCAAUC